rnacentral:rRNA from 1 species
UGCAGUCGAGCGGACAGAUGGGAGCUUGCUCCCUGAUGUUAGCGGCGGACGGGUGAGUAACACGUGGGUAACCUGCCUGUAAGACUGGGAUAACUCCGGGAAACCGGGGCUAAUACCGGAUGGUUGUUUGAACCGCAUGGUUCAAACAUAAAAGGUGGCUUCGGCUACCACUUACAGAUGGACCCGCGGCGCAUUAGCUAGUUGGUGAGGUAACGGCUCACCAAGGCAACGAUGCGUAGCCGACCUGAGAGGGUGAUCGGCCACACUGGGACUGAGACACGGCCCAGACUCCUACGGGAGGCAGCAGUAGGGAAUCUUCCGCAAUGGACGAAAGUCUGACGGAGCAACGCCGCGUGAGUGAUGAAGGUUUUCGGAUCGUAAAGCUCUGUUGUUAGGGAAGAACAAGUACCGUUCGAAUAGGGCGGUACCUUGACGGUACCUAACCAGAAAGCCACGGCUAACUACGUGCCAGCAGCCGCGGUAAUACGUAGGUGGCAAGCGUUGUCCGGAAUUAUUGGGCGUAAAGGGCUCGCAGGCGGUUUCUUAAGUCUGAUGUGAAAGCCCCCGGCUCAACCGGGGAGGGUCAUUGGAAACUGGGGAACUUGAGUGCAGAAGAGGAGAGUGGAAUUCCACGUGUAGCGGUGAAAUGCGUAGAGAUGUGGAGGAACACCAGUGGCGAAGGCGACUCUCUGGUCUGUAACUGACGCUGAGGAGCGAAAGCGUGGGGAGCGAACAGGAUUAGAUACCCUGGUAGUCCACGCCGUAAACGAUGAGUGCUAAGUGUUAGGGGGUUUCCGCCCCUUAGUGC